rnacentral:rRNA from 1 species
GACGAACGCUGGCGGCGUGCUUAACACAUGCAAGUCGAACGGAAAGGCCCUGCUUUUGUGGGGUGCUCGAGUGGCGAACGGGUGAGUAACACGUGAGUAACCUGCCCUUGACUUUGGGAUAACUUCAGGAAACUGGGGCUAAUACCGGAUAGGAGCUCCUGCUGCAUGGUGGGGGUUGGAAAGUUCCGGCGGUUGGGGAUGGACUCGCGGCUUAUCAGCUUGUUGGUGGGGUAGUGGCUUACCAAGGCUUUGACGGGUAGCCGGCCUGAGAGGGUGACCGGCCACAUUGGGACUGAGAUACGGCCCAGACUCCUACGGGAGGCAGAAGUGGGGAAUAUUGCACAAUGGGCGGAAGCCUGAUGCAGCAACGCCGCGUGCGGGAUGACGGCCUUCGGGUUGUAAACCGCUUUCGCCUGUGACGAAGCGUGAGUGACGGUAAUGGGUAAAGAAGCACCGGCUAACUACGUG